GGUCAAUGAGUGCAAACAAGACAGAAGCCUCUCGUUUUGGACAGCAAGGAGACUUGCUGCUGGAGCUGACCCAGUCUUAGCUGACACACUUUCAUCUGUCCGACUUCUUCAAGGAUUUUGGUAUUGUAAAGAUGAAAGCUGCGCACUAUGCCAAGAUCAAAGUGUGUCAGUUAAGGUAAGACAAGUACUCCAGUAGAAGAAUGAAUUUAAAAAGUUUGAUAAAGAGAGACAGAAGAUAAACUGGCAUAAAACUGUUGCAGAUUAUUGAACAUGAAAUACCACUUAAAAGUGAGCCUUACUGACUCUAGAUUA